AUUGAACGCUGGCGGCAGGCCUAACACAUGCAAGUCGAGCGGAGCGGCUGACGGGUGAUUAAUGCCUAGGUAUCUGCCUGUUAGUGGGGGAUAACGUCCGGUAACGGGCGCUCUUACCGCAUCCUAUCCGAUUAGCCUUGGUCGGAUUAGCUGUUUGGUGGGGUAAAGGCCUACCAAGGCGACGAUCCGUAACUGGUCUGAGAGGAUGAUCAGUCACACUGGAACUGAGACACGGUCCAGACUCCGACGGGAGGCAGCAGUGGGGAAUAUUGGACAAUGGGCGAAAGCCUGAUCCAGCCAUGCCGCGUGUGUGAAGAAGGUCUUCGGAUUGUAAAGCACUUUAAGUUGGGAGGCGGUACAAACAGAAGAAGCAACGGCUAACUUCGUGCCAGCAGCCGCGGUAAUAC
rnacentral:rRNA from 1 species